UGUUUGUGUGUGUGUGUGUGUGUGUAUAAAGCAAUUUCUAUUUAAAUCAUAUAAUUUAAGGCCUGCAGUAAUCAACAAUGGAAUGUGGGACCAGAUAAGGGUGGACCAUGGAAAAGAGUUUUUCUUGACUCUAUUUAUGCAAGAAAUUCUUGCUGACCACAGAAUGAAUACAGCAACACCACCAUAUCGUCAGACCACAUCUACAAAGGUAGGUGUUGUCUUGUGGUUCAAAUUUGAACUACUGAAAACUCACAACUUAAUAAAAUUAAAACGUAUACAAACUUGUUUUACAAUCACUUGUAUUUAAGGGUUGGUUUCCAAAUUUUAGUUUUUUUUUUCUUAAAUAAGAUGACAUGUUCAUAAUAAAAAUUAUUUUAAUAAAAAAUUAUAUAAUUUUAGGAAUCUGAUGAUUUUACUCUAUAAAACAGCCCGUUUAAUUCCUUUCAUUCAUCAGAAUCACACAAUUGAGAGAAUUUGGCCUGAAAUAAACAACAGGGUUAAUUACCCUUUGAAGGAGGCUCUUGUUCAGCUGGUCGACCAAGAACUGAUUGAUAUGGACUGCAACCUAACAAGAUACUGUGUGUCUAACCUUGUCUGUCAGCUGUGUCAUCUGGGCAUUAGCAGGGUAGUAGAGGCAUGGAACAACCACAGGAUUCCUGGAAAAGGAAUCCCCAACCAGAUUGCACAGGGUGGUUGUGCAAAAAAAAUCUCAGCAGCACUACUGCCUCAUGGAACUGAAGCAGCUGAUCUGUACAUGAACACACUGGGAUCAUCUUUGACAAGGGUUUCGGCCUUUGGAACAGACCCUUUUACAAGUGAACAUGAGAAGGCUACAGUGGAACAACUGUUUUCAGAAAAGUGGCCAGACAUCACUUACUUGCUCAAUAAUACGGUCAACAAAAACUUUUUGCCUUUUAAAGAGGCUUUGGUCUGUUUAGUAAAUUUAACUCAAAGAUACUCUUAAAGAGCAUGCCUUCUAAUUGUUCAAUGCUGCUUUCCAUCAAGUGUUUUUUCUAGAAACAAAAUAUUACACACAAAUUUAAGCAUCAACAUGAUGCUGAUAAAUUAAAGUAUUUCUUUUUAGUUCUUGUUUUAAGUAGUUGUGCAACAAAACUUUACACAACAACUGUCAAAUAAACUACUGAACUAAACUUGAAUUGCUGAACA
ensembl:lncRNA